rnacentral:rRNA from 1 species
UACGUAGGUGACCAGCGUUGUCCGGAUUUACUGGGCGUAAAGAGCGCGCAGGCGGUCGUUCAAGUCGAGUGUGAAAGCCCCCGGCUCAACUGGGGAGGGUCAUUCGAUACUGAUCGACUGGAAGGCAGGAGAGGGAAGCGGAAUUCCCGGUGUAGUGGUGAAAUGCGUAGAUAUCGGGAGGAACACCAGUGGCGAAGGCGGCUUCCUGGCCUGUUCUUGACGCUGAGGCGCCGAAAGCUAGGGGAGCAAACGGG